GACCCUGUCUGUCUUGGUUUCCAUUAGGUGAGAUGGGCUCUAUCCUUCCCUGUUCUUGAUGUCCUAACCCUUUUCCUUCUUUAUAACCCAUCUUUGCCAUGAUAUUUUUUGCUUUAGCUGAAUACCCUCCCAAUGGGGCGUUUUCAUUGGACAAAAUAAGGCCCAAAUGCUGCAUAAUAUCCCUUCCCCAGAGGUUAACCGGGAGUGGGAGCACAUAAGGUAUGAAUUUCCCUUGCUGUCCUUCAGAGGAUUCCCACGUCAAGGCAAUGGAGCUUAUAGUGGGACAUGAUUGAUAUCCUAGGCCCUGUAAUGAAUGAGAUGACUCUGUGGUGGGCCAUGCUUUGGGCCACCAAUGUGUAGAAAUUAUACUUUCAUCUGCUCCGGUAUCAAGGAUGCCUUCAAACUCUUUUCCAUUAAUCUUAAGGCGGAGCUUAGGUCUAUCAUUUAAAGAUACAACCAAAUAGGCAGAAUCAUUUCCUGAGGAGCCCAUUUUCUUUAUCUCAGGUCCUGCAGAUUUCUCCCUGGUAUUAUCAGGGAGGAGCAGCAGCUGAGCUAUCCUAUCUCCUUUACUAAUAGAAAAAACGCCUUUAGGGCUUGAGCACAGGACCUGUAUUUCAGGGGAAUGUUGACAAUCCAUAACUCCAGGGUGGACUACUAAGCCCUGCAAGGUGAGUGAACCCCGGCCGAGAAUAAGGCCCAUGGUUCCCGGGGGCAAGGAUGGUAUAGGCUCCACUGGCACCGGCUGAAUACUCAUUUGAGGCAUUAGUAGGAAGUCGGAGGCGGCACGCAGGUCCACCCUUGUGGGUCUUCCUGGGUCGCCUCUCUGACUGCUUCCUGGGUCCUGACAAACCGGUUCCCAUAUCUUUGAGGGCCCUGGGACCGAGGGCCCGAUGACCCGUUUUUUGGCACAUCAGUUGAUUGACUAUCAGGUGGGGGAAGGACUCUGCCCUUUAUAUCCCUCACAGAGCGACACUGGUCAGCUCUAUGAUAACCCUUGCCACACUUAGAGCAAAGAGUGAGAGUCCCUCCCUGUUUAUCUGGAGCUCUGCAAUCUUUCUUAAAAUGCCCAGGCUUUCCGCAAUUAAAACAUGUCCUCUGAUCAUUUCUGCUCAUGGAGCGGUUCUGAGAUUGGAGGAUGGCGGCCGCUAAGCCUGCAUUGGUGAGAGGUCCCCCAAGCUCUCGACAGACCCUGAGCCAGUCUUGUAAGCCUUUGUUCUUUCUUGGGGCUAUGGCCGCUCGGCACUCCUUUGUGGCUUGCUCAUAGAUUAGCUGUUCUAUCAGAGGCGCAGCUUGCUCUGACUCUCCAAAAAUACGCUCUGCUGCCUCUGUCAUUCUGGCCACAAAAUCUGAGAAGGAUUCCUGAGGUCCCUGGAUUAUCUUUGUUAACUGCCCGGUGGUUUCACCUGCUCGAGAGAGCGCCUUCCAGGCCCUAAUAGCCGUGGAAGAAACUUGGGCAUAAGCUCCCCAAUGGUAGUUUGUCUGAUCAGCAGAAUAAGCUCCCUGACCCGUUAACAAGUCAAAAGUCCAAUCUCUCUGCUCUGGAGUCAAAGCAGCUGCGUUUGCUCGGGCCUGCGCUUGUGCAGCUUCGUGCCAAAGCGCUCUCCAUUCCAUAUAUUUGCCCAUACUAGGGAGAGCGGCUUUUACAACCGUUUGCCAGUCAGCAGGAGUUAGUGCCAUGCCAGCGAGCCUGUCUAACUGCACCAAGGUAAAAUUAGCAUUGGUUCCGUAUUUACGAACCGACUCGGCAAUUUCUUUAAUUUGUAAGUAUUCUACCGGAGCGUGGACACGCCCACCCUCGGCUCCUUCAAAGACCGGAAAUGCCUGUUGUAUUUUCCUUUGUUCCUCUCUGGGAAUGAAUGAGUCUGCGCACUGCCUCUCUGCGCACUGCCUCUCUGCGCAGGGCUGACGCACUACGCAGGGCGGGGACUCCGCAUAGGGCGGACCUUGAAGCCGACUGCCCUGAGGCCAAUCAGCAAACUGGCCUUCGCCAGCCGCUUUUGGCUUUUUUCUUGACCAAUUAGCUGGCUGGUAAUGGGCUGCUUCUUCCUCCCAGUCUGUUUCCUCAGAGGAGAAUUCUUCAUCUGCUUCAGAACUACUAAGAGCUGGCUCCCCGAGCCCAUCCAGCGAUGAGCACAGGCUCCUUUUCCUAGAGACCUCCGCUAAUUGAUCUUUCUUCUUUUCCCUUUUUCCUCUUUUUCUUCUAAUCUCUCUCCAGGUAUUCCUACCUAACCUUAACUUUUCCUCGGGUUCAAGACCCUUGGAAAGGCCUGUAUACUUAUUUUGUGUACCAUAUUUCCUCUUUGCUCCUACUCUCUCUCCCCGCUUUACUUCUGAUAGCUUGUCCUGAAUUUCAUCUAGAAUCCGCCCUAUCUUAACCACUUGAUAACAUGUGAAAAGGAACAAAAGGGCUUCUAACACUAGAAAAAAUUCAAGGCCAAACAUAUUCCACUUUACUUCUGAUAGACUGUCUUGAAUUUCCUUAGAAAGUUCAAGGUCAGACUUACCUCGUAAAGCUGUACUCACUGGUACUCUCGUUCCCCAGCUGAAAAGUUCUGAAUUCAUACAGUUGAAUCCUUCUUAACAGUCUGCUUUACGGGAACCUUUAUUACCGCGACCCGCAGUUCUGGUUCUGGAAUGAGGGAUCUUCCUUGCGCCAGUCCCGAGUUUUUUCUCGUCCCGGAAUUCGGCACCAAUUGUUAUUAGACGCGUUCUCACGACCGGCCAGGAAGAACACCACAGACCAGAAUCUUCUGCGGCAAAGCUUUAUUGCUUACAUCUUCAGGAGCCAGAGUGCAGGAAGCAAGAGAGCAAGAAGCAAGAGAGCAAGAAGCAAGAGAGAGAGAAAACGAAACCCCGUCCCUCUUAAGGAGCAUUCUCUUUCGCCUCGGUCGUGUCACUCCCUGAUUGGCUGCAGCCCAUCGGCCGAGUUGACGUCACGGGGAAGGCAGAGCACAAGUAGUCAUAAGAUACCCUUGGCACAUGCGCAGAUUAUUUGUUUACCACUUAGAACACAGCUGUCAGCGCCAUCUUGUAACGGCGAAUGUGGGCGCGGCUCCCAACAGCUUUGAUCUGGUAUUUUCUCACUAUGCUCCCUUUCUACCCUUCUGGAAUUGCAGUGUAUAUCCUGUGUCAUUAUAUGUUGGAAAUAUGUAAUCUGCUUUUCAUUUUGAUUUUAUAGGGGGUUAUAGUUAAGAGAUUGCAUGAAUGUCAGAAGAGAUUUUGAACUUUGGACUUUUAAACAGUGGUGAGCCGGUUAAAGACCAUAGGACUUUUGAAGUUGGAUUUAAUGCAUGCCUGAAUUUUGAUAUGGCUACAAGCCUAUAGUGGCCAGGGAGUGGAAUGUGAUGGUUUAAAAGGAAAUAGCCCCCUUAGGGAAUGGCACUCUUAGGACGUGUGGCCUUGCUGGAGGAAGUGGUCACUGUGAGAAGGCUUUGACGUCUCAGAUGCUCAAGCCAUACCUAGUAUGGCAGUCAUUUCUUAAUGUCUGCUAAUCUAGAUGUAGAACUCUCAGCUACCUCUCCAACACCAUGUCUGCCUGCCUGCUUCCUACCGUAAUAAUAAUGGACUAAAUUUUUGAACUGAACGCCAGCCCCAAUGAAAUGUUUUCCUUUAUAAUAGUUGAUGUGGUCAUGGUGUCUCUUCACAGCAGUAAAACCCUAAGACUGGGUCCUUGACAUGGCUGUGUCCAUUCAGCAAUAUUCAUUCAGAAUUUCCUCAUUCCCCACAAUGCUUGGUCAUUAUUGAAUUGUCAUCUAUGUAUAAGUAGAGAGAGUAUUAAGAGAGACAUGCUAUCAUCUUCAAAUCUUGUUUUUUAAAUUUCUUUUACCCCAAACUUUUUUCAUUGUUUUGGGGGCAUUGUGUGAUUUGUAGUAAUCAUUUUUAUAAUUAUUUUAAUUGUCUUUUUAAAGUUUAUAAAUAGGAGCCAGACAUGGUGAUAUAUACUUAUAAUUUUAACCUUCAGGAAUCAGGUUAGAAAUAUAUAAAGUUUGAGGCCAUACUGGGCCAUGUAGACUCUAAUAAAAAAGAAAGAAAAGAAAAAAAUGAAGAAUUUAUUAAACUAGGCACUGGAUACAUUAUAAGCAAUAUAAGAGUGAAGGAUAGGUUCCGUCUUUGCCAUCAUGAUUUUCACUAUAAAUUUCAUUGUAAUAGGACUUCUUCUGGCUUUAACACAUCAGGCAGCAUAUAAGGGAAGACAUUAUAUGUGUUAAGCAUUGUAGGGGAUAUUAAUAACAUGUGAAAUAAAAAGAACAGAAAUGAGGUGAGGUAGGAAAUCAGGUUAUAAAGAAUCUUAGUUUAUGAAGUGAAAGUUUAUGAAAUGAAAGUUUAAAAAUUUGUAUACCUUCUCCCCUGCUUUUAUUUCCUGGAAAGAGCUGACUUACAAAGG
rnacentral:lncRNA from 1 species